AGCUUUGCGCAGUGGCAGUAUCGUUGCCAAUGAGGUUUAUCCGAGGCGCGAUUAUUGCUAAUUGAAAACUGAGCAUAAACAGAAUGAGCUAAAAUAACCAUGUUAAUAUUUAACUACCACGAAUAUGUACAACUCUGGUACAUCUAAGUUUCUACUGGUCAAAAUAUUAACAUCAUUUAUAAAAGAAG
rnacentral:snRNA from 1 species